rnacentral:rRNA from 1 species
GACGAACGCUGGCGGCGUGCUUAACACAUGCAAGUCGAGCGGUAAGGCCUUUCGGGGUCCGCGAGCGGCGAACGGGUGCGUAACACGUGGGUGAUCUGCCCUGCACUUCGGGAUAAGCCUGGGAAACUGGGUCUAAUACCGGAUAUGACCUCCUAUCGCAUGGUGGGUGGUGGGAAGAUUUAUCGGUGCAGGAUGGGCACGCGGCCUAUCAGCUUGUUGGUGGGGUAGUGGCCUACCAAGGCCACGACGGGUAGCCGACCUGAGAGGGUGACCGGCCACACUGGGACUGAGACACGGCCCAGACUCCUACGGGAGGCAGCAGUGGGGAAUAUUGCACAAUGGGCGAAAGCCUGAUGCAGCGACGCCGCGUGAGGGAUGACGGCCUUCGGGUUGUAAACCUCUUUCAGCAGGGACGAAGCGCAAGUGACGGUACCUGCAGAAGAAGCACCGGCUAACUACGUG